rnacentral:rRNA from 2 species
CUUUGACCUCGAAUCAGGUGGGACUACCCGCUGAACUUAA